AACGAACGCUGGCGGCGCGCCUAAUACAUGCAAGUCGAGCGAGAAGACGUAGCAAUACGUUUGUAAAGCGGCGAACGGGUGAGGAAUACAUGGGUAACCUACCCUCGAGUGGGGAAUAACUAGCCGAAAGGUUAGCUAAUACCGCGUACGCUCCUUGGACUUCGGUUCAGGGAGGAAAGCGAUACCGUGGGUAUCGCGCUCAUGGAUGGGCUCAUGUCCUAUCAGCUGUUGGUGAGGUAACGGCUCACCAAGGCUUCGACGGGUAGCUGGUCUGAGAGGACGAUCAGCCACACUGGCACUGCGACACGGGCCAGACUCCUACGGGAGGCAGCAGUAAGGAAUAUUGCGCAAUGGGCGAAAGCCUGACGCAGCGACGCCGCGGUGGGGGAUGGAAGGUCUUCGG
rnacentral:rRNA from 1 species